UACGUAGGGGGCUAGCGUUGUCCGGAAUCAUUGGGCGUAAAGAGCGUGUAGGCGGCCAUGUAGGUCCGGUGUGAAAACUCGAGGCUUAACCUCGAGAUGUCAUCGGAAACCAUUUGGCUAGAGUCCGGAAGAGGAGAGUGGAAUUCCUGGUGUAGCGGUGAAAUGCGCAGAUAUCAGGAAGAACACCAAUGGCGAAAGCAGCUCUCUGGGACGGUACUGACGCUGAGACGCGAAAGCGUGGGGAGCGAACAGG
rnacentral:rRNA from 1 species